CCAGAGCUGAAAUAGCUGCCACACUGGGGUUCAUUUCUUUGGCUGCAAUAGAGAAAUUAACAUAAAAUACAUUAAUAUAAACAGAACAACAGACUUCUCUGAAAGCAAUUAAUGUGAAGUGGUGUGAGGGAAUAGAGUCUAUAUAUAAGUGUCUACAUUCAGAAACGAAACUGCACAUGAAUGCAACACCCAGAGAGGUGGACUCUGCUCUGGCUCUGCCCAGGCACAGGGGCCUGAGGUUGUGUGUUGGUGCUGACCCAGUUUGAUGAUGUUGGGCAUAGAGGUGUUCCUGCUGCGCUCGGUGCAUGCCGUCACCGUCAAGUUAUAGAUGUCUCCAGGAGGCAGAGGCAGACUGGCCCGCAUGACAUUACGAGUCACCUAACAAAGCCGGCACUGGAGACAGUGCAUCAUUCCUCUGCACUAAUUGGACCAUCCACUGUUCUCAGAGGACAUAAUCAAUAGCCAGCCAGACUGACCUCAAGAUAAC